CCUACGGGUGGCAGCAGUGAGGAAUAUUGGUCAAUGGGCGGAAGCCUGAACCAGCCAAGUAGCGUGCAGGAUGACGGCCCUACGGGUUGUAAACUGCUUUUAUACGGGAAUAACGCGCCUUACGUGUAGGGCUUUGCAUGUACCGUAUGAAUAAGGACCGGCUAAUUCCGUGCCAGCAGCCGCGGUAAUACGGAAGGUCCGGGCGUUAUCCGGAUUUAUUGGGGUUAAAGGGGGCGUAGGCCGCAUGUCAAGCGUGCUGUGAAAUGUCCGGGCUCAACCCGGGCCUUGCAGCGCGAACUGGCGUGCGUGAGUCCGGGGAAGGCAGGCGGAAUUCGGGGUGAAGCGGUGAAAGGCUUAGAUAUGACGAAGAACCCCAAUGGCGAAGGCAGCUUGCGGCAGCGGAACUGACGCUGAUGCUCGAAAGCGCGGGUAGCGAACAGGAUUAGAUACCCAAGUAGUC
rnacentral:rRNA from 1 species